UACAGAGGGGGCAAGCGUUGUUCGGAAUUACUGGGCGUAAAGGGCGCGUAGGCGGCCUGUUAAGUCGAACGUGAAAUCCCCGGGCUCAACCCGGGAACUGCGUCCGAUACUGGCAGGCUCGAAUCCGGGAGAGGGAUGCGGAAUUCCAGGUGUAGCGGUGAAAUGCGUAGAUAUCUGGAGGAACACCGGUGGCGAAGGCGGCAUCCUGGACCGGCAUUGACGCUGUGGCGCGAAAGCCAGGGGAGCAAACGGG
rnacentral:rRNA from 1 species